rnacentral:rRNA from 1 species
CGUCAAAGCUUAGUUUAAUAACACUUAACCAAUCCCUCAAACCCUAAAGAACCCCUCAUCUCUACUGAAUGAUCUUAUACUUCUAUAAGACCCCUUAUGUUAAAACUAGUAACAAGAAGCUAACCCUCUCUUAUAUGUAAACAUACGUCAGAACAGAUAGUCUACCGACUCAUAACAGCCAUAAAUUUUAGUACCACCACCCUGAGAAAACCUUACUUAAACAACUGUUAACCUAACACAAGAGCAUAAAAAGAAAGAUUACAAGAAAAAGAAGGAACUCGGCAAAUUUUGAUUCCGCCUGUUUACCAAAAACAUCGCCUCCUGCCUACAUAUAGGAGGUCCAGCCUGCCCAGUGACCUAGUUCAACGGCCGCGGUAUCCUAACCGUGCGAAGGUAGCGUAAUCACCUGUUUUUUAAUUAAAGACCUGUAUCAAAGGCAUCACGAGAAUCGCACUGUCUCCUUUUUCCAAUCAGUGAACCUAAUCCCCUCGUGAAAAAGCGAGAAUAACUAUACAAGACGAGAAGACCCUUUGGAGCUUUAGAUAUAGUAAUAUACUGCUUCCACUUCCCUCUCACCUAUAUUAAAUAGCAUCCAUCUUACAAUUCUUCGGUUGGGGCAACCGCGGAGCAUAAAACAACCUCCAAGCUGAAUGGAACUUUCCUUAACAAAAAGCCACAUCUUUAUGUAUCAACAAAUUGACAUUAUGACCCAAUAUUUUGAUUAUCGAACCAAGUUACCCUAGGGAUAACAGCGCAAUCUACUUCAAGAGCCCAUAUCGACAAGUAGGCUUACGACCUCG